UUGAAACCCACUACAGUGCUCCACCAUCGUUUGUACAAACAAAGCUUUAUUUACUACCAUCACCAGUUCUACCAGCACUACUGGUCGACGGCGUUUGGACCCGAGCAGUAAUUAACCACCGGAUUCCACAGCCACUGAAUCAAAAACCUCCUCCCACCAACACCGUUGACGUUGUAGGCUCCACCACCGUCCCUCAACAACUCGCCCG
rnacentral:misc_RNA from 1 species